rnacentral:rRNA from 1 species
UACGAAGGGGGCUAGCGUUGCUCGGAUUCAUUGGGCGUAAAGGGUGCGUAGGCGGCGCGGUAAGUCGGGUGUGAAAUCUUGGAGCUUAACUCCGAAACUGCAUUCGAUACUGCCGUGCUUGAGGACUGGAGAGGAGACUGGAAUUUACGGUGUAGCGGUGAAAUGCGUAGAUAUCGUAAGGAAGACCAGUGGCGAAGGCGGGUCUCUGGACAGUUCCUGACGCUGAGGCACGAAGGCCAGGGGAGCAAACGGG